UAGGGAAUCUUCCGCAAUGGGCGAAAGCCUGACGGAGCAACGCCGCGUGAGUGAUGAAGGUCUUCGGAUCGUAAAACUCUGUUAUUAGGGAAGAACAAAUGUGUAAGUAACUAUGCACGUCUUGACGGUACCUAAUCAGAAAGCCACGGCUAACUACGUGCCAGCAGCCGCGGUAAUACGUAGGUGGCAAGCGUUAUCCGGAAUUAUUGGGCGUAAAGCGCGCGUAGGCGGUUUUUUAAGUCUGAUGUGAAAGCCCACGGCUAAACCGUGGAGGGUCAUUGGAAACUGGAAAACUUGAGUGCAGAAGAGGAAAGUGGAAUUACAGGUGGAGCGGUAAAAUGCGCAGAGAAAAGGGGGAACACCAGUGGCGAAGGCGACUUUCUGGUCUGUAACUGACGCUGAUGUGCGAAAGCGUGGGGAUCAAACAGG
rnacentral:rRNA from 1 species